rnacentral:rRNA from 1 species
GGAUUGAACGCUGGCGGCAUGCCUUACACAUGCAAGUCGAACGGCAGCACGGGAGCAAUCCUGGUGGCGAGUGGCGAACGGGUGAGUAAUACAUCGGAACGUGCCCAAUCGUGGGGGAUAACGCAGCGAAAGCUGUGCUAAUACCGCAUAAGAUCUACGGAUGAAAGCAGGGGAUCGCAAGACCUUGCGCGAAUGGAGCGGCCGAUGGCAGAUUAGGUAGUUGGUGAGGUAAAGGCUCACCAAGCCUUCGAUCUGUAGCUGGUCUGAGAGGACGACCAGCCACACUGGGACUGAGACACGGCCCAGACUCCUACGGGAGGCAGCAGUGGGGAAUUUUGGACAAUGGGCGAAAGCCUGAUCCAGCCAUGCCGCGUGCAGGAUGAAGGCCUUCGGUUGUAAACUGCUUUGUACGGAACGAAAGUCUCUUUCUAAUAAAGAGGAUCAUGACGGUACCGUAAGAAUAAGCACCGCUAACUACGUGACCG